ACAACAGUGAUUCCCUUAGUAAUGGCGAAUGAAACGGGAACAGCCCAACGCUGAACCGCUGGUCCUCUUGCCGGCCACGCGGAAUGUAGCGUAUGGAUUGGAGCUCUUCCAAGGCUUGCGACGCCAGUCAAAGUUCAACUUGACAGUGGCCACUGCCCCCAGAGGGUGAUAGGCCCGUAAGGCGGCGUCCGGCUUUGCUGCCCCUCUCCGAGAGUAGAGUUGCUUGAGAGUGCAGCUCGAAGCGCGAGGUAAACUCCUCGUAAGGCUAAAUACUGCCCCGAGACCGAUAGCAAACAAGUACAGUGAUGGAAAUUUGAAAAGAACUUUGAAGAGAGAGUUAACAGUACGUGAAACUGUGUGGCAGUAAACGGAGCUUUCCUCGAAGUUGCCCCGGCCGGAUCCAGCCUUGGCGUCGCCGCCUCGGUGCAUCUCCGGCCGGUCGGCUACGGUAGGAACUGUUGGACGGGCACCUAAGGCCUGGGCAUGAGUUUUUGCCAAGAGCUUGCUCUCGGCGCUAGCUGUCCCGGUGUCCUGGCUGCCCGACCGACAGGCCUGAGGCAGACUCGUAUAGCGAGCAGCCAUGUUUGCUGCGGUCUGCCUUUCGUCUACCGAGUAGGUUGGCGGAAGCUUCGACCCGUCUUGAAACACGGACCAAGGAGUCUUACAUGUAUACAAGUCAAUGGGUUGACUAAACCCAUAGGCGCAGUGAAAGCGAAUGGCUGUUAGCUCAGCCAGAGGGGAGACGCCGCCGCUUCGGCGGUGGCCGCAUCCCCGCCGUUUCCAAUCGACCUCGCUCGUUGGGAACAGGAGGAGUAUAGAUGUAUGGACCCGAAAGAUGGUGAACUAUGCCUGCUCAGACCGAAGUCAGGAGAAAUCCUGAUGGAGGGUCGUAGCGAUUCUGACGUGCAAAUCGAUCGUCGGAGGUGGGUAUAGGGGGCAAA
rnacentral:rRNA from 1 species